AUUUGAUAUUGCCACUCUUGUCGCGAGGCAAGUUCGGAAAGCCUACGGAUCUCCGCAAACGAGACGGCUGGGUUGCCUCU
rnacentral:ncRNA from 1 species